UCGAUAAUAGUUGAUAUUAUUUUUUAAUAAUCAUAACAAAAAUUACAUCUAAUAUCAGCGAGGUGUUUAGUUGGAUGCAGAUCAUAAUAUCACAACACAUUAAAAUUGACUAUGUAAAGCAUGAUAAUGGCCUAACUAGAUCUGAGAUUUCACACUAGUGGCAACUAAACUAGUACAGAAGUGCACCCAUGUCUCAUGAAAAGCACGAUCCUCACACUGCAAUUGCUUAUCAGAUCUAAACUACAAAACGAAAUGGCUAGACAUCACAGAUCGCAUGCUUAAAUUAGGAACUACGAAUAGUUCAUGUUCCUGACAAAUUCAGAAGGGUCGCACAGAUCGAACACUAAUUGCCGCAUUCUUGGGGGAAAACAAUUAGACCUACACGGGAAGGUAAUCCAGUAAUCCCAUCACGGUUCAAAUCGUGCAUCAAUUACAACCUAAAUAUUCCAAACCAGAGAAGAUCUGACAACUGAAAGUGUUCAUACAAUCAUUGUUUGAACCACAUACAAGUUCGACAUCGGAAGGGGCGAGAGAUGGGAUGAGAUGGGGUAUGAAGAACCUAGAUGCCGUGCUCGAGGCAGUAAAGUUCCCAGCACGCGUUGCCGAACUGGAUUACGGGAAGUCGCCAGGGUGCCGACGCCGACGAGCGUGGCCGGCAGGAUGCCGAAGAUGAAGUCGCCGAAGGAGAUGCUGCAGCUCCGAGACGCGCGUCGUGGUGCUCCUGCCACGGGCCGGGCGCGCGAGGACGCUAGGGCUCCUCCCGCUUCUCCUCCAGAGGCCUCCGUCGUGCGCUGCUCCCACGCGAGCCCUGCAUGUCACCCAAGGAGAGGAGAGGAGCGGGUCUAUUAGAAACCGCAGGAGAGGGAGGGGAGGCGCGGAGUGCCGUGCGCGUACGUGGUCGCGGCGGGGCAUGCCUCCAUCUUGGCCGUGGACUGCCUACCUGUGGUCGCCGGGCCGGCGAGACGGUGCGCCGUGCGGCAAAAUCCCAAGCACGGAGUGGUUGGUUCGCUCGGAGCACAUAAGGCUGGGGGAGAACAGGAGGGAGGGAGGAGCUCGAUCUCGUCUAUGGUGAGGGUCGUCGAUGGUGGGCGGCGGCGGAUCGAGAUCUGAGGGAGCGAGAGGGUGACUUGGAGACGGGGAUCUGGGAUCGAGGGGCGCGGGAGAGGCUGGAGCAGCGGCGCUUGGGGGUGGGGGUCGAGCUCCAUCGGAGGGAGGUGGCCGAUGAGCGUAGGAAUGGAGAUGGAGGCCAGGGGCGGGAGGGCGAGGUGUUAUGACUUGGAUUGGAUCUGGGAGGGAGAAGGGGGCAUCGGCGGCUGGAAUGGGAGGCGAUCUGAGUUAGGGUUUGGGUGGUUGGGCUGCGGGUGGGACGAGGGGUGAGAGAGUGAGGGGGUGUGGGCCGUUGGAUCUGGGAGCAUCCGACGGUCUCUGAUGGUUGAUCCACGUGACAUGUCCAUAUACCAAUCAAAAGGAAGUAUAGGCUUUGAUGAUGUUAUGACCAUGUAAAUUGGUCUUAAUCGAUUAACAGUAAGCAAAGAGCUACGAGUCUGCCAGAUGAUUUUGUCUAGAAAUCAUCCGCCUAGCUAGCCGCCCGGUGUGCGCAUUGGGGGUCGUUCGAUCACAUCAAUAUGUCACGACAGCGCCGAGUGUGAAAAAGCUUCAACGCAUGCAGCACCGAUGACAUCCCCACGAAGCUCCAUUACAGCUCUCAACGACAUGUGCUAAGAGCUUCAACGCUGCACCACGGUGCCCGAUGAAGCUCCAUUGCAGCGUCGGGGAGAUCCAACGCAGCACCGCGACGCCCGGCUGUAAGUUCCCUUCUCUUUUUAUGACAAUGUUUAAGUACGGUUCCCUCAAAUAACUAGAGGUAGUUUCAUACUAGGUGGGAUUUUCGUCGAUUCACUAUAAAGCGGGUCAAAUUUUAACUACAGCUACCUCAUCGUUUGUUCAAAUGAUUCCAUAUUUCGCAUAAGUUUGCAUCUUGGAAUUACAAACAAUGUUGCCAAAGGGAUUUUUUAUUUUAUUUUCACGAAAAACAAUUUUCCAUUUUUUGAGUGCCCAAAAUAAGUUUUUUUGUGAAGGACCUACCAUAUAUUUGUUGCAAAAAUGGACCAAAUCAAUUUUAUAAAAUAUUAGGCCAUGUUUAAUGCACAAUUGACCAAAUGGUUGGGUUUCAAAAGUUUCUACCCACCUCUAGUGAAAAAGACAAAUUUCCGCCGAUCCAGCUGGAAGCGGGUCAAGUUUGAAAUGCAGCUGCCUUAUAGUUUGCUCUUUAUUUUUUCCAAAAAUCCUUUCUAGGUACAUAAGUAUAUAUUUAAUCAGAUAAACACCAAAAGUUUCCAAGAUUCAACCACUAUCUAGGAACGGUCAUGCCCGCCGUUUUGACCGCAUUUUGAAACGGGCAUAGAAAAUUCAAAAAAAAUCAAAAAAUGAGAAAACCUUCGGAUUGUGUCAUUAUAUGUGACAAAGGUACCAGAAAAAUAAUAAUCUUGUAAUACGGCAAUUAUUUUUAAAAAGUGUUCUUAGAAAUGAGCUAUCAUGCAUGAAGAUUCAUGGCUUUCAAGCCAAAUAAUCAAUCUUAUGGUGACAUUCAUGACAUAGUUUGUUCAAAUGAUCUCAUAUCAUGCACAAGGGUGCAUCUUGGAAUGGCAAACAAUGUUGCCUAAGGAAGUUUUCAAUUUCUUUGGACAAAAAAUUAAUUUUGUAUUUUUUGAGUGCCCAAAAUGAGUUGUUUUUGUGAAGGACCUACCAUAUAUUUGUUGCAAAAUGGGACCAGGUUAUUUUUAUAAUAUAUUAGGCCAUAUUUAAUGUACAAUUAACAAAAUAGUUGGUUGUCAAAAGUUUUUAUACACCUCUCGUGAAAAAGACAAUUUUCCACCGAUUCAGAUGGAAGCGGGUCAAAUUUGAACUGCAGCUGCCUCACAGUUUGCUCUUUAUUUUUUCUAAAAAUCAUUUGUAGGUACAUAAAUAUCUAUUUAAUCAGAAAUACAUGGGUUGGUGGUGAUACGUUGUGGUUUGGAUUGUGGUCGAGGGCCCCAACUCCAGAGCGCGUAAACUCGCAUGCCCGCCGCAUGGUCACCGCAUGACCGUGGCGUUGCCACGCGUUCUGGGCGGCGUAUGUCUAGUGGGUUGGGCACUCCCCCGGUAGGUGUUAGGAAGAAGAAGGCAAUAGAAGAAUCUCAUGAGGAGACUGAACUGAGCUCAAACAUGAAUUAGCACCCCAAGUAUUUGAUUAGUGGUGUGGAAAAUGCACAUGGCCAAUGGGCCUGAGUUUUGCCCGAGGAUGAUCAUCUAUUAAGGACAUUGUCUUGAAAAAUUUGCAGCUCAAAUGGAGGAGCCUAGGUGUCACUUGCUUUGCAACAUACCACACUGGACAUAAAUAUGAAUGUUGAAGCUAGACUCAAAUGAAUGAAUGGAUUGAUCUGAAAUUUGGAGGAGAAUGAUAAUUUGGGCAUAUGAAGGCACUUUAAAAAUUUCAUACCAUUUGCAUAAAUAAAAAUGGUACUUCUUUCACAGUGCUCUCCACUGGAUAGAAAAAUGGGAAAAAUGCUGAGGGAAAUUGGCUAGAAUAAAUGAGCUAAAAUUUGGUGGAGGGAGGUUCUAUGGGCAGGGUCAUGUCGUGGUAAAUUUUCAGCAAUUAUAAAUUAACAUAAAAUAUAGUUGCUUCACAAACUAAAAAUAUCACUAGAAACUAAGAUUGGAUGGUGAGCUCACAUGGAUUGUUAGAUGGGGCUCAAAUUUUGUGGAUAGCUAUGAUUUGAGAAUAUAGAAGAUCUGGCAAAAAUUCAGCUCAUUGGGAUAUGCCUAGCUAGUACUUCCUUCACAAAUGUUCGAGCUGAACAAAAACUUUGGAAAUUUGCUGAGGAAGAUUUACUAGGCAAAUUGAGUUGAAUAUUGUCAUGAGGCAAUGAUUUGGAUAGUAAAGAAUGCUCAAUUUUUUUGGGAAUUUUGGGAAUGACAGAAAUAUAGGGUGCUUCACAACCUAGGGCAAAAAUUGACACAUAGACAUGACACAUAGGCAAAACUGAUGAGGUGGCGCCUAGUCGUAGGAAUGCACCACAAUUUACAAGGCUAUGACCAUCUAUAUUGGUCGUUAUCAGCUAGAAAUAAGGCAGCAGACCAGUGUUGUUUGCUUUACGACCAUUUUGUGUAAGGAAAUUAUGACCUUUUUGACCAAAAUGGUCGUUAUGGUUUAGGGUUUGGAGCCCACAGAAUAGCUUUUGGCCAAUUGGUCUCAAAUGGUCAUACAUUUAUGACCAAUUCUUCCAGGGUCACUGACAGAAGGUCACAAUUUGACAUAUUUCUUGUAGUGAGGACCAGGAGAAAACAUCUUUCAUCACGCCCUUUAGAGCUUUCUGCUAUGUGUCUAUGCCUUUUGGGCUCAAGAGUACCUAGGCGACUUAUCAGUAUUGUGUUCAAAAUUGCCUUCACAACCAGAUAGGACGCAAUAUUCAUGCUUAUCUGGAUGAUAUUGUUGUGAAGUCUAGAAAGAAGGAGACCUUGCUAGAUGAUUUGAAGGAGACCUUUGAUAACCUCCGGGUCUACAAGAUGAUGCUUAACCCGGCCAAAUGGGUUUUUGGUGUGCCUGCAGGCAAGCUCUUGGGUUUUCUGGUCUCCAAGAGAGGUAUUGAAGCUAACCUGAAGAAAAUAAAGGCUAUCACUUCAUUAGCUAAGCUGGCGUGUGUUAAUGAUGUCCAGCGUUUGGCGGGUCGUAUUGCGGCUUUAAGCCGGUUUAUAAGCCUCCUAGGAGAGAAGGCUAUUCCUCUGUACCAGAUGAUGAAUAAAACAGAUCACUUUGUCUGGAGUGAUGCUGCUAAUGAGGCAUUCGAGGCACUUGAAAAACAAUUAGCUGAGCCACCAGUUCUUGUAGCUCCUGUUGGUCAGGUGCUUCAGCGACUCAGAUUUGGUGGCUCAGCAAGUCUCAGGAACUUGGGAUUCUAAGGACCCGCUCAUGGUGGCUUAUUGCCGGGCGGUUGACAGUAUUGCUGGUCAUUUCAAGGGUUAUCAAGUGGAACAUGUUGAUCGUAGAAAGAUUGAGGCGGGUGAUGCUUUAAGCCGGCUAGGGUCUCAGCGUAAGCCGGUACCACCAAAUGUUUUUCUUGAUAUAUUAAAUAACCCUUCAGUUUAGCUACCAACAGAGGAGGAUCUUGCAAUCCCUGACCUGGAGGCACAGUUGGUGGCGGCUCUUCAUGCCAUCCCUGAUUGGACAGUUCCUUAUGUGGCUUAUAUGACCUGGGGAGAGUUACCUGAGGAUGAAACUUUGGCUAGGCAAAUAACCCGACGGUCUAAGUCGAUGACUAUUGUCAAUGGCGAGUUACACCGAUUCAGUGCCACAGGUGUGUUCCAGCGCUGUGUUUCUCCUGAAGAGGGCCGUGAGAUUCUAAGGGAGAUUCAUGAAGGAGAUUGUGGCCAUCACGCUGGCUCUAAAUCUCUUGUGGCUAAAGCUUUUCGUCAUGGGUUUUAUUGGUUGACGGCUCAUGCUGAUGCAGAAGAUCUAGUUAGCAAGUGUGACAACUGUCAGAAAUUUUCUAGACGAGCUCAUGUGCCCGCUCAAGAAUUGAGGAUGAUUCCAAUUGCUUGGCCGUUUGCAGUCUCGUGGCUGGAUAUGGUUGGACCUUUCAAGAGAUUCAAGGAAAAAGAGACCCAACUCUUGGUGGCGGUUGACAAGUUUACCAAGUGGGUUGAGGUAGAGCCGGUCAGCAAGUGUGAUGCGGCAACGGCAGUUCAAUUCAUUAAUAAGGUGAUCUUCUAUUUUGGCUACCCUCAUAGUAUCAUAACUGAUAAUGGCACUAAUCUUUCUAAGGGUGCUAUGAAAGAGUUAUGUCAACGGGAGCAUAUUCGUCUUGAUGUCUCAUCAGUGGCUCACCCCCGGUCCAAUGGUCAAGCUGAAAAGGGUCAAUCAAGAAAUCUUGAGAGGGAUAAAACCCCGGCUUAUGGUCCCUUUCCGGAGAACGCCGGGUGGCCGGGUUGAGGAAUUACCCUCAGUACUUUGGAGUAUUAAUACCACCCCCAACAGAUACACAGGCUACACGCCCUUCUUCAUGGUCUACGGGGCAGAGGCGGUUCUUCCAAGUGAUAUCCGUCAUGACUCGCCCCGGGUGGUGGCUUAUGUUCAAGCUAUCAAUGAAAAGGCACGUCAGGAUGCUCUUGAUAUGUUGGAUGAGGAGCGUGACCUUGCGGUGGCUCGUUCGGCGAUAUACCAGCAAGAUUUGCGUCGCUAUCAUAGCCGCUGGAUUAAAAUCCGGACCUUUCAAGAAGGUGACUUGGUGCUUGAUGACCCACAAGUAUGGGGAUCUAUCGUAGUCCUUUCGAUAAGUAAGAGUGUCGAACCCAACGAGGAGCACAAGGAAAUGACAAGCGGCUUUCGGUAAGGUAUUCUCUGCAAGCACUGAAAUUAUCAAUAACAGAUAGUUUUGUGAUAAGGUAAUUCGUAAUGGGUAACAAGUAACAAGUGUAAAUAAAGUGCAGCAAGGUGGCCCAAUCCUUUUUGUAGCAAAGGACAAACCUAGACAAACUCUUAUAUAAAGGAAAGCGCUCCCGAGGACACAUGGGAAUUAUCGUCAAGCUAGCUUUCAUCACGCUCAUAUGAUUCGCGUUCGUUACUUUGAUAAUUUGAUAUGUGGGUGGACCGGUGCUUGGGUGCUGCCCUUCCUUGCACAAGCAUCCCACUUAUGAUUAACUACUCUCGCAAGCAUCCGCAACUACUAAAGAAGAAUUAAGGUAAAUCUAACCAUAGCAUGGAACAUAUGGAUCCAAAUCAGCCCCUUACAAAGCAACGCAUAAACUAGGGUUUAAGCUUCUAUCACUCUAGCAACCCAUCAUCUACUUAUUACUUCCCAAGGCCUUCCCCUAGGCCCAAAUAAUGAUGAAGUGUCAUGUAGUCGAUGUUCACAUGACACCACUAGAGGAAAGAUAACAUACAUCUUAUCAAAAUAUCGAAUGAAUACCAAAUUCACAUGACUACUUAUAGCAAGACUUCUCCCAUGUCCUCAGGAACAAACAUGACUACUCACAAAUCAUAUUCAUGUUCAUAAUCAGAGGGGUAUUAAUAUGCAUUAAGGAUCUGAACAUAUGAUCUUCCACCGAAUAAACCAACUAGCAUCAACUACAAUGAGUAAUCAACACUACUAGCAACCCACAGGUACCAAUCUGAGGCUUUGAGACAAAGAUCGGAUACAAGAGAUGAACUAGGGUUUGAGAGGAGAUGGUGCUGGUAAAGAUGUUGAUGGAGAUUGACCCCCUCCUGAUGAGAGGAUCGAUGGUGUUGACGAUGGCGACGAUUUCCCCCUCUCGGAGGGAUGUUUCCCCGGCAGAACAGCUCCGCCGGAGCCCUAGAUUGGUUCCGCCAAGGUUCCGCCUUGAGACGGCGGCGCUUCGUCCCGAAAGCUUCCCUCUUAUUUUUUCUUGUACGAAAGACUUCAUAUAGCAGAAGAUGGGCACCGGAAGCCUGCCAGGGGGCCCACGAGACAGGGGGCGCGCCUAGGGGGGUAGGGCGCGCCCCCACCCUCGUGGCCAGGGUGUGGGCCCCCUCUUGUUGAUUCUUUUGCCAGUAUUUUUUAUAUAUUCCAAAACGUGCCUCCGUGAAGUUUCCAGACUUUUGGAGUUGUGUAGAAUAGGUGUCUAAAUCUAAUAUUUGCUCCUUUUCCAGCCCGGAAUUCCAGCUGCCGGCAUUCUCCCUCUUGAUGUAAAUCUUGUAAAAUAAGAGAGAAAAGGCAUAAGUAUUGUGACAUAUUGUGUAAUAACAGCCCAUAAUGCAAUAAAUAUCAAUAUAACAGCAUGAUGCAAAAUGGAUGUAUCAACUCCCCCAAGCUUAGACCUUGCUUGUCCUCGAGCAGAAGUCGAUAUUGAAAAAUGUGUCCACAUGUUUAGAGAUAGAGGUGUCGAUAAAAUAAAAUUCGAACAUGAGGGCAUCAUGAUCAUUCUUAGAACAACAACAUAUAUUUAUAUUAUCAUAUGAUUUCUUAUGCUGAAGUAAUAAUCUAUUCACAAUGCAAAGUAUGACUCAGAAACUUCAUAAAAACUAACAAACUAUAAUCACGAUCAAUGAAGCAAUUGCAAUUUAUCAUAACAUCGAAAAGAGUCAAUGUAAGAGCUUUUCAGCAAGUCCACAUACUCAACUAUCAUUUAAUUCACAAUUGCUAACACUCAAGCAAUACUUAUGGGUAUGGAGUUUCAAUCGGACAUAGAGAAAGAUAGGGGCUUAUAGUGUUGCCUCCCAACCUUUUACCUCAAGGGUAAUGUCAACAAUAAUAGUUCAUUCUAACUUACAUCCAAUUGGAUAUAUGUAUAUCAGGAUCUUUCCAACACAAUGUGCUUGCCAAAGGAUAAAAUGUAAAAAGGAAAGGUGAAGAUCACCAUGACUCUUGUAUGAAGGUAUAAGACAAAAAUAAAAGAUAGGCCCUUCGCAGAGGGAAGCAGAGGUUGUCAUGUGCUUUUGGGGUUAGAUGCACAAAAUCUUAAUGCGAAAUAACGUCACUUUAUAUUGCCACUUGUGAUAGGGGCCUUUAUUAUGUAGUCCGUCGCGUUUAGUGCUUCCAUAUCACAAGAUCGUAUAAAGCUUAUUUUCUCCACACUAAUAAAUCAUACAUAUUUAAGGAGAAAUUUUUAUUGCUUGCACAAUGACAACUUAGUUGAAGGAUCUUACUCAAUCCAUAGGUAGAUAUGGUGGAUUCUCAUGGCAAAGCUGGGUUUAAGGAAUGUUUGGAAGCACAAGUAGUAUCUCUACUUGGUGCAAAGAAUUUGGCUAGCAUGAGGGGGAAAGGCAAGCUCAAUAUGUUGGAUGAUCCAUGAUAUUAUACUUUAUUUCGGAUAUGAGAAAAAUAACCCAUUACGUUGUCUUCCUUGUCCAACAUCAACUUUUAGCAUGUCAUAUUUCAAUGAGUGCUCACAAUCAUAAAAGAUGCCAAGAUAGUAUAUUUAUAUGUGAAAACCUCUCUUUCUUUAUUACUUCCUAUUAAUUGCAACAAUGACCAAAACUAUGUUUGUCAACUCUCAACAACUUUUAUUCAUCAUACUCUUUACAUGUGAAGUCAUUACUCUCCAUAAGAUCAAUAUGAUCUCUUUAUUUCUUUUUAUUCUUUCUUUUUCUAUUAUUCCCUUAAGAUCAUAUCAAGAUAACCAAGCCCUUGACUCAAGACUAAUCUUUAUUAUAUAUAGCUCACGGACUUGAUUACAUAGAAGGAUCAUAAAGCAAAACUCAAAACUAAACCAUACUAAAAACUUUAUUCUACUAGAUCAAGAUAUAACCAAAAGGAUCAAACUAAGAAAAAUGGUAAAAAUGGUGAUACGAUACCGGGGAACCUCCCCCAAGCUUGGCAGUUGCCAAGGGGAGUGCCCAUACCCAUGUGUUUGUCUCCUUCUUCGGAGGUGGUGAUGAUGGAGUUUUUGAUGAUGUAGGCUUGUUGUCCAUCUUCCAAGGCAUAGGCUCACCAUCAUAGAAGGAUAAUCAGGUCUCCAGGAUCCUCAAAUCUGCAGCCAAACUCAUCCUCUUGAAUCUAUAUUCAUACUCACAGUUUUGGUUUUGCAGGUCAUAGAUCUGGGCCUGGAGGUGCUCUAUUUUCUCGUGAAGCUUGAAGAUGGUCUCCCCAAUGUUCUUGACAUCUAGCUUGUGGUUGUUGGUGAACUCCGUGAUCAUUAUGUGGUUGGCGUCGAGUCCGCGUUCCACCAUCUCCUGGCACUUGAAAACUUGUUGCUCCAUUGCUUCGAGCCUUGUCUCCGUGCUUCCGGUCCUCCUUGGUCCCUCAACAUCGCGGAUGUGCAGCAACCACUCACGCAUCUCAAUGGUUGGAGGAUGUUGCAGCACUUCCGCGAGGUAGGGGUUGAUGACCUUCUCGAAGAACUUGUCCUUGGGGGCGCUUGGAGACGUCAUGGUGCUCUAGAUCUGUCAGAAAAACAGCUCGAAACAAAAGCAGAGGAUUUUAUCGUGGCACGGUGGUCAAAACCUUCGGGAGAUUAUAUAAUGAAUUUUUACCGACCAAAAGAAGUAUCGUGCAAGAAAACAGAGUCCAGAGGGUACACGAGGUGUCCACGAGGCAGGGGGCGCGCCCUCCACUCUCGUGGAUGCCUCGUGUCCCUUUGAGACUACUUCUUAUUUUCCUAUUUUCUUAAAUAUUCCAAAACGGAGAAAAUUUACCAUUAGAACUGUUUUGGAGUCGGUUUACUUACCGUACCUCAUACCUAUUCCUUUUUGGAGUCUGAAACGUUCUGGAAAGUGCCCCUUAUGUAUUCCUCCAGGGUUACAGUUUCAAUAACAUUAGUUUCAACAUUUAUGGGGUUACCUAAGAUAUAAUGUUUGAUUCUUUGAUCGUUCACCACCUUCGGAUUUGUGCCUUCGAAGUUGUUGAUUUUUAUGGCACCGGAACGAUAGACCUCCUCGAUAACGUAAGGGCCUUCCCAUUUAGAGAGAAGUUUUCCUGCAAAAAAUCUUAACCGAGUUGUAUAGCAAAACAUAAUCACCUACAUUAAACUCGCGCUUUUGUAUCCUUUUGUCAUGCCAUCUUUUAACUUUUUCUUUAAACAGUUUGGCAUUCUCAUAGGCUUGAGUUCUCCAUUCAUGAAGUGAGCUAAUGUCAAAUAGUCUCUUCUCACCGGCAAGUUUGAAAUCAUAAUUGAGCUCUUUAAUGGCCCAAUAUGCUUUAUGUUCUAGUUUAAGAGGUAAGUGACAUGCUUUUCCAUAAACCAUUUUAUAUGGAGACAUACCCAUAGGAUUUUUAUAUGCAGUUCUAUAGGCCCAUAAUGCAUCAUCAAGUUUCUAGGACCAAUUCUUUCUAGAUCUAUUAACAGUCUUUUGCAAAAUUAAGUCUAGCUCUCUGUUACUCAAUUCUACUUGACCACUAGACUGCGGGUGGUAUGGAGAUGCAAUUCUAUGGUUAACAUCAUACUUAGCAAGCAUUUUACGAAAAGUACCGUGAAUAAAAUGUGAACCACCAUCAGUCAUUAAGUAUCUAGGGACUCCAAACCUCGGGAAAAUAACCUCUUUAAGCAUCUUAAUAGAAGUGUUAUGAUCAACACUACUAGUUGGAAUAGCUUCUACCCACUUAGGAACGUAAUCAACAGCAACUAAAAUAUCUGUAUACCCAUUAGAGGAAGGAAAUGGCCCCAUAUAAUCGAAGCCCCAAACAUCAAAUGGUUCAAUAACAAGUGAAUAGUUCAUAGGCAUUUUUUUACGUCUACUAAUAUUACCAAUUCUUUGGCAUUCAUCACAAGACAAGACAAACUUACGGGCAUCCUUGAAGAGAGUAGGCCAAUAAAAAACGGAUUGCAAUACCUUAUGUGCAGUUCUAUCUCCAGCGAGGUGUCCUCCAUAAGCCUCGGAGUGACACUUGCGUAGGAUCUGUUCCUGUUCAUGCUCAGGUACACAACAUCUAAUAAAACCAUCUACUCCUUCUUUAUAAAGGUGUGGGUCAUCCCAGAAGUAAUGUCUUAAAUCAUAGAAAAACUUUUUCUUUUGCUGGUAUGUGAAACUAGGUGGUAUAAAUUUAUCAACAAUGUAAUUAGCAUAAUCAGCAUACCAUGGAGUAGUACGAGAAGCAUUUAUGACAGCCAAUUGUUCAUCACGAAAGCUAUCAUCUAUAGGUAGUGGGUCAUCAAGAACAUUCUCUAACCUAGACAAGUUGUCUGCAACGGGGUUCUCAGCUCCCUUUCUAUCAAUGAUAUGCAAGUCAAAUUCUUGUAGUAGGAGAACCCAUCUAAUAAGUCUAGGUUUAGCAUCUUUCUUUUUCAUAAGAUAUUUAAUAGCAGCAUGAUCAGUGUGAACAGUUACUUUAGAGUCAACAAUGUAAGGUCUGAACUUAUCACAAGCAAAUAGAACUGCUAAAAAUUCUUUUUCAGUAGUAGCAUAAUUUCUUUGGGCACUGUCUAAAGUUUACUAGCAUAUUGGAUAACACUUAAUUUCUUAUCAACUCUUUGUCCUAGAACAACACCUACAGCAUAAUCACUAGCAUCACACAUAAUUUCAAAGGGUAAAUUCCAAUCAGGAGGCUGAACAAUAGGUGCAGAAAUCAAAGCUUUCUUGACUAUUUCAAAUGCUUCUACACAAUCAUCAUAAAAAACAAAAGGAAUAUAUUUUUGUAAGAGAUUAGUCAAAGGCCUAGAAAUUUUUGAGAAGUCUUUAAUGAACCUCCUAUAAAAACCGGCAUGACCAAGGAAAGUUCUUAUACCUUUAAUGUCCUUAGGACACGGCAUCUUUUCAAUAGCAUCAACUUUAGCUUUAUCAACUUCAAUACCUCUUUCAGAAACUUUAUGCCCCAAGACAAUACCUUCAUUAACCAUAAAGUGGCACUUCUUCCAAUUCAAGACAAGAUUAGUUUCUUCACAUCUAUGCAAAACUCGACCGAGGUUGCUCAAGCAAUCAUCAAAAGAAGAUCCAUAAACGAAGAAAUCAUCCAUGAAAACCUCAACAAUCUUUUCACAAAAAUCAGAGAAUAUGGCCAUCAUGCAUCUUUGAAAGGUAGCAGGUGCAUUACAUAAACCAAAAGGCAUACGCCUAUAAGCAAAAGUACCAAAAGGGCAAGUAAAAGUGGUCUUUUCCUGGUCCUCUUUUGACACAGGUAUUUGAGAGAAACCAGAGUAACCAUCUAGAAAGCAAAAAUGUGUAUGUUUGGAUAAUCUUCCUAGCAUUUGAUCAAUAAAAGGUAAAGGGUAAUGAUCCUUUUUAGUAGCUUUAUUUAAUUUGCUGAAAUCAAUUACCAUCCUAUAAUCUAUAACAAUUCUUUGUGGGAUCAAUCCAUCUUUAUCAUCAGGAGCAAGAUUAAUACCUCCCUUCUUAGGGACACAAUGGACAUGGCUUACCCACUGACUAUCAACAACAGGAUAAAUUAUACCUGCCUCCAGAAGCUUUAGUAUUUCUUUUCUUACCUCUUCUUUCAUCUUAGGAUUUAACCAUCGUUGGUUAUCAACAACCGGUUUAGCGUCUUUCUCCAAUUUUAUUUUAUGUUGGCAUAGAGUGGGACUAAUGCCCUUAAGAUCAUCAAGAGUAUAUCCAAUAGCAGCACGGUGCUUCUUCAGAGUUUUCAAUAAUUUCUUUUCUUCAUGCUCUGAAAGUUUAGCACUAAUAAUAACAGGAUAUAUCUUAUUUUCAUCAAGAUAAGCAUAUUUAAGGCUAUCAGGUAAUGGUUUAAGCUCAAACACGGGAUCACCCUUGGGUGGAGGAGGAUCCCCUAGGAUUUCAACAGGCAAGUUGUGUUUCAAAAUAGGUCCCUAUUUAAAGAAUGCUUCAUCUAUUUCCCUUCUUUCAUUCAUAAACAUAUCAUUUUCAUGGUCUAGCAAAUAUUGUUCUAAAGGAUCAUUAGGAGGCAUGGCAAUAGAAGCAAGACCAAUAAUUUCAUCCUUAUUAGGCAAUUCUUUAUCAUGGGAUUGUCUACGAAAUUUAACAAAAUUAAAGUCAUGAGACAUAUCCCCUAAACCAAUCGUAACAAUAUCCUUUUUGCAGUCUAUCUUAGCAUUAACAGUAUUCAAGAAGGGUCCACCAAAUAUAAUGGGACAAAAGUCAUCUUGUGGGGAACCAAGAACAAGAAAAUGAGUAGGAUAUUUAAUUUUCCCACACAAGACUUCAACCUCUCUAACAAUCCCAACUGGUGAAAUAGUAUCUCUAUUGGCAAGCUUAAUUGUAACAUCAAUAUCUUCUAACUCAGCAGGCGCAAUAUCAUGCAUAAUUUCUUCGUAUAAAGAAUGAGGUAUUGCACUCGCACUAGCACCCAUAUCACAUAAGCCAUGAUAGCAAUGAUCUCCAAUUUUAACAGAAAUAACAGGCAUGCCUACAACAGGUCUAUGUUUAGUUUUAGUAUCGGGUCUAGCAAUUCUAGCAGCUUCAUCACAGAAGUAACUAACAUGCCCAUCAAUAUUAUCAACCAAGAGAUCUUUAACCAUAGCAAUACUAGGUUCAAUUUUAAUUUGCUCAGGGGGUGUAGGUGUUCUAGUAUUACUCUUACGAACCACAGUUGAAGCUUUAGGAUGAUCCUUUAUUCUAACAGUAAAUGGUGGUUUCUCAAUAUAAGCGGUAGGAAUAAUAGGAUCAACAUUAAUAGGUUCAACUACCUUUACUUUAAUGGGAGGAUGAUAUUUAAACCACUUCUCCUUAGGGAGAUCAACAUAAGUAGCAAAUGAUUCACAUAAAGUAUCUACUAUCUCUCAAGUCCAUAUUUAGUGCUAAAUUCACGGAAAACAUCGGUAUCCAUAAAAGAUUUAACACAAUCAAACUUAGGUGUUAUACCUGACUCCUUACCUUCGUCGAGAUCCCAAUCUUCAGAGUUGCAUUUAAUUCUUUCCAAUAAAUCCCAUCUGAAUUCAAUAGUCUUCAUCAUAAAAGAACCAGUACAAGAAGUAUCGAGCAUGGAGCGAUUGUUAAGAGAAAGCCGAGCAUAAAAAUUUUGAAUAGUAAUUUCUCUUGAGAGCUCAUGAUUGGGGAAUAUAACAUUGACUUCAGCCUCCCCCAAGCUUGAGCGAUGCUUUCUCCUUUGUGAGGCCAAAAAUUAUAUAUAUAAUUACGAUCACGAUGAACAAGAUGCAUAGGAUAAAACUUUUGAUGAAAUUCCAAUUUUAAUCUAUUGUAGUUCCAUGAUCCCAUAUCAUCACAUAGCCUAAACCAUGUCAAUGCCUUUCCCUUCAAAGAUAAAGGGAAGACCUUCUUCUUGAUAACAUCCUCGGGAAUACCUGCAAGCUUAAAUAAUCCACAACCUUCAUCAACAUAGAUUAGGUGCAAAUCGGGAUGCAAUGUUCCAUCUCUUGUAAAGGGAUUAGCUAGCAGUUUCUCUAUUAUACCCGAAGGAAUUUCAAAGUAAACAUUUUCAGUGGGUUCAGUAGGUUGAGGAGCAACUCUUUGCUCUACUGGUCGGGGUGAAGAUACCCCGAACAAGCCCCUCAAAGGAUUACUUUCCAUAGUAACAAGUGACAGUAAAUUUCAGCACACUAUAUAAAUUUUUCCUUACCAAAGGCACUUCACUCCCCGCCAACGGUGCCAGGAAAGAGUCUUGAUGACCCACAAGUAUAGGGGAUCUAUAUAAGUCCUUUUGAUAAGUAAGAGUGUCGAACCCAACGAGGAUCACAAGGAAAUGACAAGUGGCUUUCAGUAAGGUAUUCUCUGCAAGCACUGAAAUUAUCGGUAACAGAUAGUUUUGUGACAAGGUAAUUCAUAACGGGUAACAAGUAACAAGUGUAUAUAAAGUGCAGCAAGGUGGCCCAAUCCUUUUUGUAGCAAAGGACAAACCUGGACAAACUCUUAUAUAAAGGAAAGCGCUCCCGAGGACACAUGGAAAUUGUCGUCAAGCUAGUUUUCAUCAUGCUCAUAUGAUUCGCGUUCGUUACUUUGAUAAUUUGAUAUGUGGGUGGACCGGUGCUUGGGUGCUGCCCUUCCUUGGACAAGCAUACCACUUAUGAUUAACUACUCUUGCAAGCAUCCGCAACUACGAAAUAAGAAUUAAGGUAAACCUAACCAUAGCUUGAAACAUAUGGAUCCAAAUCAGCCCCUUACAAAGCAACGCAUAAACUAGGGUUUAAGCUUCUGUCACUCUAGCAACCCAUCAUCUACUUAUUACUUCCCAAAUCCUUCCCCUAGGCCCAAAUAAUGAUGAAGUGUCAUGUAGUCGAUGUUCACAUGACACCACUAGAGGAAAGACGACAUACAUCUUAUCAAAAUAUCGAACGAAUACCAAAUUCACAUGACUACUUAUCGCAAGACGUCUCCCAUGUCCUCAGGAACAAACGUGACUACUCACAAAUCAUAUUCAUGUUCAUAAUCAGAGGGGUAUUAAUAUGCAUUAAGGAUCUUAACAUAUGAUCUUCCACCGAAUAAACCAACUAGCAUCAACUACAAGGAGUAAUCAACACUACUAGCAACCCACAGGUACCAAUCUAAGGCUUUGAGACAAAGAUCGGAUACAAGAGAUGAACUAGGGUUUGAGAGGAGAUGGUGCUGGUGAAGAUGUUGAUCGAGAUUGACCCCCUCCCGAUGAGAGGAUCGAUGGUGAUGACAAUGGUGAAGAUUUCCCCCCUCGGAGGGAUGUUUCCCCGGCGGAACAGCUCCGCCGGAGCCCUAGAUUGGUUCUGCCAAGGUUCCGCCUCGAGACGGUGGCGCUUCGUCACGAAAGCUUCCCUCUUAUUUUUUCUUGGACGGAAGACUUCAUAUAGCAGAAGAUGGGCACCGGAAGCCUGCUAGGGGGGCCACGAGACAGGGAGGUGCGCCCAAGGGGUAGGGCACGCCCCCACCCUCGUGGCCAGGGUGUGGGCCCCCUCUAGUUCAUUCUUUUGCCAGUAUUUUUUAUAUAUUCCAAAACGUGCCUCUGUGAAGUUUUAGGGCUUUUGGAGUUGUGCAGAAUAGGUCUCUAAUAUUUGCUCCUUUUCCAGCCCAGGAUUCCAACUGCCGGCAUUCUCCCUCUUCAUGUAAAUCUUGUAAAAUAAGAGAGAAAAGGCAAUAGUAUUUUGACAUAAUGUGUAAUAAUAGCCCAUAAUGCAAUAAAUAUCGAUAUAAAAGCAUGAUGCAAAAUGGACUUAUCAGUGCUCCAGCUCAUCCAAGAUCAAACAGAUAUGCAUAAGUUGUCACCACCUUGGGAAGGACCUUUUGUGGUCAGCAAGAACCUGAACAACGGGUCAUAUUACCUCAUUGAUAUUCGAGACCACAAGGACUCAUGCACAUCGGAGGAGGAGACCCGUCGGCCUUGGAACAUUGCUCAUCUUCGGCCUUAUACACCUGAGCCACCGACUCUUGUGAUGUACAUAGUUUCUUCAGUGUACAUAUUAUGAUCACUAUAAUAAAGCCGGCAUCCUUGAUAAGUCAGGGCCUCUGUCAUUUCCAUUAUAAAGUGUCUGAGCCUUUAUUAGUUGUUCAUAAGGUCAAUUAGGGGCAACCUGCCCAAUGAGCAGAGCCUUGAUUACCCUCUUGAUCCGGCUUACAUGUCGUCUCAUUGGUCACAUAGGGGCUACCUGCUCAAUGAGCAGAGCCUUGAUUACCCUCUUGAUCCGGCUUAAAUGUCGUUUCUUUGGUCACUUGGGGGCUACCUGCGCAAUGAGCAGAGCCUUGAUUACCCUCUUGAUCUGGCUUACAUGUCGUCUCAUUGGUCAUUUGGGGGCUACCUGCUCAAUGAGCAGAGCCUUGAUUACCAUCUUGAUGGGCUUACAUGCCAGGUGUAAACACCAAAUUUCGGGUUAACCGACCUGUAUGUCGUUGCUACUCCGCCCAGGUAAUCCUGAAAUGACCCGUCGUGUUCUUAACAGUCAAUCUUUCAAAUAAGACCCUUAACUCGUUAAAGUUAAAUUGGCGGUUUGUCAUGUGAGGGCCGGCUUACAGGUGUGCUGUAAAAUAACUCGGUGGCUGUGCGGCCCAUGAAAGCACUUUGAAGAUUUAGGCUUGGCGGCCUAUGAAAGCCUUGUGUUUCUAAUUUGCUAUUUUUCUAACAAUUUUGGAUUCAUAUCCUUCUUCCAUAUUAAUAUAUGGUUUUCACAAUUCAGGCCAUGUAGCCUUGAUUCUAUGACUCAUAUUUGAGCAUAUUGGGUUAAUAACCUGCCCUGAUAAGCAGACUUUAAGUCGCUCAGAUGAUUCGUCUUGAAUAAAUUCAAGUCAUGAUAAUUCAUGUUUACGGGUUAAUACCCAUGCUGGAUUAAAAUCAUUACAGUGUCAUCAUGAUAUCAGUCUAUAGGAAGUAUGAUGAUGUUUCAUAUGAUUCACAUAACUGAUAAUAUUAUACGCACAAGUGGCAGGUGAUAAAAAUCAAGCAUGGCGGUUUAAACAUUCAAAGGAUAUCACAUGCACGAUGGCAUAGCAGAUCAUUGUUUCAACUAGCCUAUUACAAGGCUUUCCAAAGCCCAAAUGAUUAAGAGUUUUUCAAAGACAAGUGCCACACCGCGAUCUAAGAGUCGCCCCUUGGAUCAGUUGUUUUGGUCUUGAUGAGUUGAAGCUUCCGGAUUAUCCUGCACCAUUUCUUCUUCUUCCUCCACCGUCUGGAAGUCAGGUGAUGACCAGUCGAUGCCAGUUAAAGCUUUGAACACAGCUUCAUCAUCCAUAAGGGUGGCUGGAUCAACAUCAGGAGCAAAAGUGUGCUUACGCAUUGGAGGGAUGAGCUCCAUCACUUCAUAAGCCGGCACAUUCACUUUUGAGUUAUCCAUUGUAUAAGCUGCCUGAUAUUUGGACAAAUCAGUUUCUUCGGCCAAUUUGCUCACCAAAGGUCGCAUCUCCUUGACGCACUUGGUAAAAUCUGCUUCUUCAAAAGGCGAUCCAUCCUCUUUAAAGCUUGGACAUCCGGUGGCCAACUCCAUAGGGUCUAGUUCCGCUUGCCAUGCUUUGGCCCAGCUCAAAGCAGUGAUGGCGCCAGCUCGGGAGGAUGAUCGCUUAAUUUCUUCAAUUCUCUUGGGUAUGACAGAUAAUUUGUCUAGUACCUCCCUGAUGAGUGAAGGUGGUUGUUUACUGUGCGAGAUGGCUGCUAUGUUUUGCUGAGUGCCUGUAUACAGCUGCUCCACGAGAGUGUAAACCGCCUUCAGCUUCACCAACAUGUCUUGGUCAAGGUUGGCACUCCUAGGGCCUGUUGAAUAAGUGCACAGAUAAGUCGUCGGACAGAUUAAAUUGGAAGUGCUCGAAACAUCUUGAAUUACUUACCAAAGGUAGCAGCUUCAUCUGGGAUAUAUAGCGUUUUAAGCCGGUCAAUUCUGCAACAGUCUCUUUCCAAGAGGAUUCGGCAGUCUCUGCUCUUUGUACCAAGAUGGCCUUCUCAUUAUCCCAGGCGGUUCUUUCUGUUGAGAAUCCAGCUUUGAGCUUCUCGCUUUCUUCCAGACUAAGUUUAAGCUUAGAGUUAGCUUGGCGUGUUUCAUCCUCUUGUUGCUCAAGACUGGUCUUUAAAUUGACCACCUGGGACUCAGCCUGAGUUAAGGCAUCUUGCAAGUAAGAGUUAAGACGAUAUAAACAUAUUUGUCAAGAUACAAUCUAUGUACAAGUCUCAAGCACGUUGCAAGCAGAGCACUUGACACUUGGGGGCUAAUGUGUGUGAAAGUUUUUCUUCACAUUUAUAUUUUUUGAUCUGACUCAUCUUUAUCAAGAUAAGCCGGCCCGUGAGGGUUAUGGUCUGGAGUUUUUUCAAAUACUGGAAAUGACUCGGUUCAUUUUUAUCAAGAUAAGCCGGCUCAUGAGGGUUAUGACUUUAGAGCUUGCAGAAACAUAUGGACAAGUCCUAACCUUACUCAAAUAUAUCUUUUCCUACGAAUAAUACUUGGGGGCUGGAUGACUAUAUAUGCAGAGGAAACAGAUGUGGAGCACCGGUGCCAGCUCGUGACAAGGCCAGCUGCCAUAUCAUGCACCGGCCGAUGCACGACGCGCGCGCCUCCCGUGCUGCUGCGUCAGCUUCAAGACCGAGCUGUCCAAGAAGCCGCGUCGCAUGCAUGCCAGGACCGCACUGCUCCAGCGCGAGGCGCGCCCGUGAGCGCCGCGGGCUGUCGUGCCUUCACCCGUGAGCUGCGCCGGGUGGUGUGGCUGGCCAAGUUCAAGCUGGAGCUGCCCCCGCGCUACGACGGCGUCCCCGACCCUACGGAGUUUCUCCAGCUCUAUGCGUUGAGCAUCAAGGCGGUGAACGACGAUGACAAGGUCAUAGCAAACUGGUUUCCCGUGGCUCUCAAGGACGGCGCGCGUUCCUGGUUCAUUAACCUGCCUGAGGGAUCGAUCUCCUCAUGGGACGAGCUUCGCGAGCGAUUCAUUGCCAACUUCCAAGGCACCCACGACCGCGCCCUCACCAUCAACGACUUGCGGCGCAUGAAGCAGCGCCCUGGCAAGACCCUUCACAAGUACAUUCAAUGUUUCACCCAGGUUCGCCUCAAGAUCCCAAAGGCCUCGGAUUAAACCAUCAUCUCGGCAUUCACCGACGGUAUCACAGACGCCAGGAUGAGUGAGAAGCUCACCAUCAACGACGACCUAUGCACGACACUGGAGUUGUUUAACCUGGCCGACAAGUGCGCGAAGGUGGAAGAAGGCCGCCUCGCUCUCCUCGGCAACCCCGAUGUCGAGCCCGAAUACAAGAAGGCCAAGUCCAAGGAAGUGAAGCGCAAGGGCCCCACCGUGUUGGUGGCGGAGCCAGAGCUGAAGCACGGCCGCGACCAUGAUGAGCUCAGCAAGGACAGCCGCCUCUUUUGUGUCUACCACAACGUGCGCACCCAUAACACCGAUGAUUGUCAGGAGCUCAGGGCGCCCCGAACGCAACAACCAUGGCUCCGGCCGUGUAGGAGGCCGCGGUGAGGGCCGAUCACUAGUGGAAAAAAGCCUAGCUAUGGCGUGCAAAAAACAGCCUUGCUGGUGUAGGAGCCCCACGCCACCAAUAUGGCGCUAGUGUUAAAAAAUAGUGGUGGCGCUGGAGCCUACGUCAACACUAUUAUGUAUACUAAUGGCGUUGGAUUUAACCACACGACGGAAUUAUCAACAAUAGCUAUGGUGCUUGAUACAGUUCAAUGACAGUAAUAAGAUAAAUGAAUCUCUGGCGUCGCGCAAUGUCCGACGCCAGUACUAGGUUUUUGAAAGAUGUAAAAAAAUACUACCAGGGCAGCAGAAAACCGCUGCCACGGCAGCGUCGUUUAUGACAAAUUUAUAUAAACACGUUUUUGUCCCACAUUGAUUUCGACAAGAUAGUUGCAUUAAUAUAUACACACACAUCGUUUAUUCACAUGCGUACAUAUAUUAACCACACACUACUAGCUAUAUAGGUAACUAAACCAUGCGUGCAUAUUACACCUUGUUCAUUCAACCAUCGUUACUACUAACACGGUACUGCUCUACUUUAGAGAAAUUUUGAAGAAUAUAGGAACCCUUGCAUGUCCAUGGUGUAGGACAGAGAUAUCCAGUCCGAUCUCCAAUCUUGAACUCGCAGUCUCUCAGUACAUAGUUGGCUCCAUUCAUUAAUUUUGAGCCACGUGCAUCUCGUCGUGGUAGUCAUCCAUCACGUGAGGCAGAACACAUCUAGGGAGCUUCUGUUCUUGAACUUGAGAGUAAUAUAGUAAGCAAUAUAUAUAGUAACACAUACAUACUAUGAUUUGAAAGAAGAAUGUGUGUAUGAAAGCGAUCAAAAUCAUACCAUGCAUUUUCUAGAAAUGUUGUUCUUGUUCAACGUGUGCACUAGUGGCAGGCGCGCGGUAUAUAUGGUGCAUCAUUUGGACCAACUCCGUCUUGGAAAAACGGUCUUGAAUAGCAAGGCAUACACUAGUCAAAAUGUAAAAAACAGAAAUUACACUUUGAAGCACAAAUUAUUACCAUAUAAUAUUUGUAGUCACUUUGAAGCAGGAGGGAGAAGCCAUUAUUGUUGUCAAGGUGUGAGGAUCAUCGCACAUUCCCCUAGUGUGGCAACAUUAGGGGCACUCUUCCAUUUUGUGCUACGUUCAUGUAAUUAAAAUCCACACGAUCCCCCUUCCUUCGACCCCGCCUUCUCCCGAACGAUCCCGCAGGCUCGCCCGAGAAACCUGCUUCUCCCGCACAUCUCGGGCGCCCACCCCGAGAAAACUGCCACUUCUUCACGUCCACCAAAUGAUAAAAAAAUAUUGCGCAUGUGGGAUUCGAACCCACACUUCCUUGGCACCAAAGCGCGCCACCACAAUCAACUCAGCCUUAGGUAUUUGUUGCUCAAAUUAAAGAAACUAAUCGUUUGGGCCCCUUUUUUUUACAAUUUUGUUACUACAAAAAGUACAGAAAAUUACCACGAUUUUCCCUCAGGACAAAGUUACCAUGGUAUUCGCAUGCAAGGUAUCAUGCCUGUGUUGCGUAAGUUACCGUGCUAUUUAUAUAGAACUUACCAGGUACUAUGUUUCAACAACUACACCCCUUUCAAAGGUACCACUGUGUUUUGUAUACAAGUUAUAAGGUCUUCGAUGUGUAAAAUACCGUGGUACUUACACAUAAGUUAUCAGGAUAUGUGUACAUCAACCUCGCCCCUGGUCAAAGUUACCAUGGGGGAUUGUACAUGAGUUACCGGGUCUACAAUUCGUAUAUUAUCAUGGUACUUACACCUAAAAACCUGGGUGUGUUCCGGUAACUUUUUACAUAGAUCAAAAAUUACCAUGAUGUUUCUGCGUAACUUAUCACACCUAUAGCGGGUCAAAGUGGGCCGUUUUUCUGGGCCAACCCAUGACACGUGUGCCCCUCAUGACACUAAACAUUAUGUGGCUUUUCCGUGGCACACCAAGUGUUGUGUUCAUCUAAGAGGACCCGCGAGGCAAGUAUAUGUUUUUAACAACUUGUUUUCCUUUGGUAAAAAGUUACCAUCAUGUUUAUAUUGUAAGUUGUCGGUUAUGCGGUGUUUAUAUUAUCAUGUUAUUCACACAAAAAUUAUCGGAGAUGUUUUGAACAACUUUUUCCCGGGACAGAAAGUUAUCAUGGUGAUUCUAGGUAACCUAUCAAGCCCGCAGUGCUUAAAAUAUCACGCUAUUUACACAAAAUUUAUCAGGGGUAUGUUUCAGCAAAAUUUUCCCCCACGGGUCAAAAACUUAUCAUGGUGUUUAGUUAUCGCAGUGCAUAUGUUUUCAUCCUAUUUACACAUAAAAAUACCAGGGGAGGGAGGUAUAGUACCAUGCUAUUUACACAGAAGAUACCGGAGUAUCUUUUCAAAAAAAAAUAUCUUCCCUAUGAUCAAAGUUACCAUGGUGUUUCUACCUCAGUUAUCAUAUGUGCGCUGUGUAUAUUACCAUCUAUUUACACAUAAAUUAUCGGAUAUCUUUUUACAAUUUUCUUCCCCAAUGGUUAAAGUUACCACGAUGUUUGUAACUAAAUUAUCAGGUGUAUGGUGUGAAUGUUAUCGUGCUAUUUACAGAAAUUACCGGGGGGCGGGGUUCAACAAGUUUCUUCCCAAUGAUCAAAGUUACCACGAUGCUUUCACCAAAGUUAUCAUGCCUUCGGUGCUUAUGACCAUGCUACUUACACAUAAUGUACCGCGUGGUAUACAAAAGUUAUCAUGUUGGUAGUGCGUCAUUUAUCGUGGUGGUGAUGGAGAAUUUACCACGGGAAAAGUUUAUGUGCCAGGUUUGAUAGGUGAAACAAAAGUUUUUCAGUGCUAAAAUAUUAAAGGCAAAACAUGUCAAAAACAGUAUUUCCCUUAGCUUGUUCAACAAUGGGUGUCAUAGGUGAGGUGGUUAGCUCCCUUAGUUGAUUACUUAUAGACCAAUGAUCAAAUCUCAAUCCCAGCAUUAUUUUUGCAUGAAAAACGGGGGGCGGGAAAGGAAGGAUAUCAGGCCACACGGUUGCCACUUACAUAUUUCAUUUUUUUAUAUAAAUUUAGUCAAACUUUGUGUAGUUUGACUUUGAUCAAAUCUUAUAUGCACAGUAAAAAGAAACGGAGGGAGUACAUGGGCACUUAUUGAUGAAGAACUUUGGUCGAUUAAGUGCCAAGUGCUGGUUGUUCGUUUUGAUGGAGAAACUCCCACAUGAUAAGUUUGUGCUAAUGGUGGUAACACUUUGGUCGAUCUGGACAUCACGGCGCAAAGCAAUACACGAGGCGGUUUUUCAAAGCUCCACAUGCAAUAAAAGAGUUCAUCACCCGGUUCAUCAGGGAUCUAGAUGACCCGGAAAAAAAAAGGGAUCUAGAUGCUGUGAAGGAGAAAAAUGCUGCAGAUCCUAUUCCCAUGGCGACUAUUGCAGCAGCAGGAACUGUUCGACAGCCCAAAGCACCACCAGAAACUUCGCAAAAAUACACGUAGACGCGGGUCGCGGGGUCAGAGCACAAAGAAGAAGUUCAGCAGCUGGGAUCUGUCGUGACAACCAAGGGUACUUUCCUGGGAAGUUCAGCUCUAAUAAUUGAUGGGGUACAUGAUCCCGCAACUCUGGAGGCUAUAGCCUGUCGAGAGGCUAUCCCACGGGCGCAACAUCUUCAGGUGCGAAACUUUGUCAUAUCGUCACAUUCAAAGCAAGUUGUCAAUAAUAUACUGAGGAGCAGUGAGGGUGUGUAUGGAGCCAUCAUCAACGAAAUCAUGGCUAGAUCAGCUCCUUUUUCCUGUAAUUUUAUUUUUCUUUCUAGACAUUUCAAAUGGACUACACCAUACAGAUGUAUGGAGACAUAUUUCAGAGUGUAGAUUCACUCAUUUUGCUCCGUAUGUAGUCACUUGUUGGAAUCUCUAGAAAGACUUAUAUUUAGGAACGGAGGGAGUAGUUAACUUUGAAGCUCAUUGAUUAGCUAAAUUUGCUCUUACUUUAGCUAAGGUCGUCAUGUGUGGCUUGGCAAGAUAAAUCCUGGUUUGCAUCCCACAUUCUGUGGAAUUCAAUCAAUAAAAUGGCUUCUACACCUAAAAAAACAUAUCCCCUCAAACAAGAACAUAGCCCACAAUUCUUGUCAGUUCAAAUUUGAACUAAAACCACAACAAGAAUUAUGGGGCAUAGGGAGUUUCUAUAUUAGAAAAUGACAUGGAAUUGAAAUGGAAAAGUAAAUUGUAGACAGUAUGCAAUCGAGUGAACUCAAUAUUUACAUCUUAGAAUAGAUAGCAGCCCAGGUGGAAAAACUGAAAUUGCACAAGCACCUUGUUUCAUAAAUAAAUAAAUAAAAAGGAGUAGCAGCAUAGAUUAUUAUUAUUAUCUCCCAUCGAAUUUGUGUUACAGGUACAGAAUUUUUAGCACAGCAAAGAGUUGAUUCAGCUUCAGCUCUAGCAAGAUACAAUCACUCAAAUGCUAGCAAUAAUGGGACAAAAUGUCCAUAUUGCAUAACCAUUCAUGCUAAAUUAUCGAAGGAAAUGGGGCUAGACUAC
rnacentral:lncRNA from 1 species